rnacentral:rRNA from 1 species
CUGCAGCGUGGAUUAGGCAUGCAAGUCGAACGGGAAGCCAUUUGUCCAAUCUUUCGAGAGAGAACUUAUGGUGGAUAGUGGCGUAAGGGCGAGGAACACGUGGGUAAUCUGCCUUCAGGUUGGGGACAACUUCUCGAAAGGGGAGCUAAUACCGAAUGUGGUGCCCCAACGCAUGUUGGGGACAUUAAAGCUGGGGACUCUUCGGAGCCUGGCGCCUGAUGAGGAACCCGCGUCCCAUCAGCUUGUUGGUGAGGUAAUGGCUCACCAAGGCUUACGGGUAGCUGGUCUGAGAGGAUGGUCAGCCACACUGGGACUGAGACACUGCCCAGACUCCUACGGGAGGCUGCAGUCGAGGAUCAUUCGCAAUGCGCGAAAGCGUGACGAUGCGACGCUGCGUGGAGGAUGACGGCCUUCGGGUUGUAAACUCCUGUCAUUCAGGAAAAAUAAACCGGGUAUUAAUACUAUCUGGAAUUGAUGGUACUGAAAGAGGAAGCCACGGCUAACUCUGUGCCAGCAGCCGCGGUAAUACAGAGGUGGCGAGCGUUGUUCGGAUUUACUGGGCGUAAAGGGUGCGUAGGUGGUUUUGUAUGUCGGAUGUGAAAGCCCAUGGCUCAACUGUGGAACUGCAUUCGAAACUGCAAGACUUGAGUACAGGAGGGGAGAGCGGAAUUCUUGGUGUAGCGGUGAAAUGCGUUGAUAUCAAGAAGAAGACCGGUGGCGAAGGCGGCUCUCUGGAAUGUUACUGACACUGAGGCACGAAAGUUGGGGGAGCAAACAGGAUUAGAUACCCUGGUAGUCCCAACCGUAAACGGUGUGCAUUUGGUGUGGGGGGUAUUGACCCCCCCGUGCCGGAGCUAACGCGUUAAAUGCACCGCCUGGGGAGUACGGCCGCAAGGCUAAAACUCAAAGAAAUUGACGGGGGCCCGCACAAGCGGAGGAGCAUGUGGCUUAAUUCGAUGCAACGCGAAGAACCUUACCAGGGCUUGACAUAUACCUGCACGCCCCGGGAAACCGGGGAAGCUUUCGAAGGUGGUAUACAGGUGCUGCAUGGCUGUCGUCAGUUCGUGCCGUGAGGUGUUGGGUUAAGUCCCGCAACGAACGCAACCCUUAUGUUUAGUUGCCACCGGAGGUGAUGAGCCUUCGAGCACUCUAGACAGACUGCCCGUGCAAGCGGGAGGAAGGUGGGGAUGACGUCAAGUCAGUAUGGCCCUUACGCCCUGGGCUGCACACGUGCUACAAUGGCAGGUACAGAAGGAUGCAAUGCCGCGAGGUGGAGCUAAUCCCCAAAACCUGCCCCAGUUCGGAUUGGAGUCUGCAACUCGACUCCAUGAAGUUGGAUUCGCUAGUAACGGCGUAUCAGCUACGACGCCGUGAAUACGUUCCCGGGCCUUGUACACACCGCCCGUCACAUCAUGAAAGCCGUCUGCACCCUAAGUCAGUGAGCCAACCCGCAAGGGAGGCAUCUGCCGCAGGUGUGGGUGGUGAUUGGGAUGAAGUCGCAACAAGGUA